rnacentral:rRNA from 1 species
UACAGAGGUCCCGAGCGUUGUUCGGAUUCACUGGGCGUAAAGGGUGCGUAGGUGGUGGAGUACGUUUGAUGUGAAAUCUCCGGGCUUAACCCGGAAACUGCAUUGAAUACUAUUCCGCUGGAGGUUUGGAGGGGGGACUGGAAUUCUCGGUGUAGCAGUGAAAUGCGUAGAUAUCGAGAGGAACACCAGUGGCGAAGGCGAGUCCCUGGACAACACCUGACACUGAGGCACGAAAGCUAGGGGAGCAAACGGG